GAUGAGCGCUGGCGGUAUGCCUAACACAUGCAAGUCGUACGCCUCACUUCGGUGAGGAGUGGCGGACGGGUGAGUAACACGUUAGUACCUGCCCCAAAGUGGGGGAAUAACUGCCCGAAAGGGUAGCUAAUACCCCAUAGUCUCCGGUUUAUCCGGAGUAAAGAUUUAUCGCUUUGGGAGGGGCUUGCGUUUGAUUAGCUAGUUGGUGAGGGUAAUGGCCCACCAAGGCGACGAUCAAUAGCUGGAUCGAGAGGUUGACCAGCCACACUGGGGACUGGGAUACGGCCCAGACUCCUACGGGAGGCAGCAGUGAGGAAUCUUCCACAAUGGGCGAAAGCCUGAUGGAGCAAUACCGCGUGCAGGAUGAAGCUUUUCGGAGUGUAAACUGCUUUUCUGAAGGAAGAUUAUGACGGUACUUCAGGAAUAAGGAUCGGCUAACUACGUG
rnacentral:rRNA from 1 species